GAUGAACGCUAGCGACAGGCUUAACACAUGCAGGUCGAGGGGCAGCAUAAAAGUAGCAAUACUUUGGUGGCGACCGGCGCACGCGUGAGUAACGCGUAUGCAACCUACCUAUCAGAGGGGAAUAACCCGGCGAAAGUCGGACUAAUACCGCAUAAAACAGGGGCACCGCAUGGUGAUAUUUGUUAAAGAAAUUCGCUGAUAGAUGGGCAUGGGUUGCAUUAGGUAGUUGGUGAGGUAACGGCUCAACAAGCCGACGAUGGAGAGGGGAACUGAGAGGUUGGUCCCCCACACUGGUACUGAGACACGGACCAGACUCCUACGGGAGGCAGCAGUGAGGAAUAUUGGUCAAUGGGCGGGAGCCUGAACCAGCCAAGUCGCGUGAAGGAAGAAGGAUCUAUGGUUCGUAAACUUCUUUUGCAGGGGAAUAAAGUGCGGGACGUGUCCUGUUUUGUAUGUACCCUGAGAAUAAGGAUCGGCUAACUCCGUGCCAGCAGCCGCGGUAA
rnacentral:rRNA from 1 species